UCCGGCUUGUCACCGGCAGUUUCAUUAGAGUUCUCAACUAAAUGUUAGCAACUAAUGAUGAGGGUUGCGCUCGUUGCGGGACUUAACCCAACAUCUCACGACACGAGCUGACGACAGCCAUGCAGCACCUGUCACCGAUCCAACUAAAUGAAGCUCUCAUUACAAGAGCGGCUAUCGGGAUGUCAAGAGCUGGUAAGGUUUUUCGCGUAGCCUCGAAUUAAACCACAUGCUCCACCGCUUGUGCGGGUCCCCGUCAAUUCCUUUGAGUUUUAAUCUUGCGACCGUACUCCCCAGGCGGGGUGCUUAACGCGUUAGCUACGACACCGAAACUAAUGUUCCGACGUCUAGCACCCAUCGUUUAGGGCGUGGACUAC
rnacentral:misc_RNA from 1 species